rnacentral:tRNA from 1 species
CGGGAUGUGGCUCAGUCUGGCUAGAGCGCAGCGUUCGGGACGCUGAGGCCCGGGGUUCGAAUCCCCGCAUCCCGACCA